rnacentral:rRNA from 1 species
GAUGAACGCUGGCGGCGUGCCUAAUACAUGCAAGUCGAGCGAACAGACGAGGAGCUUACUCCUCUGACGUUAGCGGCGGACGGGUGAGUAACACGUGGAUAACCUACCUAUAAGACUGGGAUAACUUCGGGAAACCGGAGCUAAUACCGGAUAACAUGUUGAACCGCAUGGUUCAACAGUGAAAGACGGUCUUGCUGUCACUUAUAGAUGGAUCCGCGUCGCAUUAGCUAGUUGGUAAGGUAACGGCUUACCAAGGCAACGAUGCGUAGCCGACCUGAGAGGGUGAUCGGCCACACUGGAACUGAGACACGGUCCAGACUCCUACGGGAGGCAGCAGUAGGGAAUCUUCCGCAAUGGGGGAAAGCCUGACGGAGCAACGCCGCGUGAGUGAAGAAGGUCUUCGGAUCGUAAAACUCUGUUAUUAGGGAAGAACAAAUGUGUAAGUAACUAUGCACGUCUUGACGGUACCUAAUCAGAAAGCCACGGCUAACUACGUG